rnacentral:piRNA from 1 species
UACAACAAUAAAACCCUAAGGCACUAUCAUU